UACGGAGGAUGCAAGCGUUAUCCGGAUUCAUUGGGUUUAAAGGGUACGUAGGCGGCCUGUUAAGUCAGUGGUGAAAGUUUGCGGCUUAACCGUAAAUUGCCAUUGAUACUGAUGGGCUUGAGUACAGUUGAGGUAGGCGGAAUGUGUAGUGUAGCGGUGAAAUGCUUAGAUAUUACACAGAACUCCGAUUGCGAAGGCAGCUUACUAAACUGUCACUGACGCUGAGGUACGAAAGCGUGGGGAGCGAACAGG
rnacentral:rRNA from 1 species